rnacentral:rRNA from 1 species
UGAGGGAUAUUGGUCAAUGGGCGCAAGCCUGAACCAGCGACGCCGCGUGGGUGAAGAAGGUCUUCGGAUCGUAAAGCCCUUUUCCCACUGAAGAGGAAGGACGGUAGGUGGGGAAGAAGUCUCGGCUAACUACGUGCCAGCAGCCGCGGUAAAACGUAGGAGACAAGCGUUAUCCGGAGUUACUGGGCGUAAAGGGCGUGCAGGUGGCGUCUUAAGGCUGUUGUGAAAGCGCCUGGCUUAACCGGGCGAGGCCAAUGGAGACUGAGAGGCUGGAGGACGGCGGAGGGGUGUGGAAUUCCGGGUGUAGUGGUGAAAUGCGUAGAGAUCCGGAAGAACACCAGAGGCGAAGGCGGCACUCUAAGCCGUACCUGACACUGAGACGCGACAGCACGGGGAGCAAACG